AUUGAACGCUGGCGGCAUGCCUAACACAUGCAAGUCGAACGGCAGCAUGUUCUGUAGCAAUACAGAAUGAUGGCGAGUGGCGUACGGGUGAGUAAUACGUAGGAAUCUGCCCUAGAGUGGGGGAUAACUCCGCGAAAGCGGAGCUAAUACCGCAUGAUCUCUAUGGAGCAAAGCAGGGGACUUUUAGCCUUGCGCUUUAGGAUGAGCCUACGUCCGAUUAGCUAGUUGGUAGGGUAAAGGCCUACCAAGGCAACGAUCGGUAGCUGGUCUGAGAGGACGACCAGCCACACUGGAACUGAGACACGGUCCAGACUCCUACGGGAGGCUG
rnacentral:rRNA from 1 species